CCUACGGGCGGCUGCAGUGGGGAAUAGUGGACAAUGGGGGGAACCCUGAUCCAGCCAUGCCGCGUGUGUGAAGAAGGCCCUCGGGUUGUAAAGCACUUUCAGUGAGGAAGAACGCCUGGUGGUUAAUACCCAUCAGGAAAGACAUCACUCACAGAAGAAGCACCGGCUAACUCCGUGCCAGCAGCCGCGGUAAUACGGAGGGUGCGAGCGUUAAUCGGAAUUACUGGGCGUAAAGCGCGCGUAGGUGGCUUGAUAAGCCGGUUGUGAAAGCCCCGGGCUCAACCUGGGAACGGCAUCCGGAACUGUCAAGCUAGAGUGCAGGAGAGGAAGGUAGAAUUCCCGGUGUAGCGGUGAAAUGCGUAGAGAUCGGGAGGAAUACCAGUGGCGAAGGCGGCCUUCUGGACUGACACUGACACUGAGGUGCGAAAGCGUGGGUAGCAAACAGGAUUAGAUACCCGAGUAGUC
rnacentral:rRNA from 1 species